GACGAACGCUGGCGGCGUGCCUAAUACAUGCAAGUAGAACGCACAGUUUAUACCGUAGCUUGCUACACCAUAGACUGUGAGUUGCGAACGGGUGAGUAACGCGUAGGUAACCUGCCUGGUAGCGGGGGAUAACUAUUGGAAACGAUAGCUAAUACCGCAUAAUAUUCAUUAUUGCAUGAUAAUUAAUUGAAUGGUGCAAUUGCACCACUACCAGAUGGACCUGCGUUGUAUUAGCUAGUAGGUGAGGUAACGGCUCACCUAGGCGACGAUACAUAGCCGACCUGAGAGGGUGGUCGGCCACACUGGGACUGGGACACGGCCCAGACUCCUACGGGAGGCAGCAGGAGGGAAUCUUCGGCAAUGGACGAAAGUCUGACCGAGCAACGCCGCGUGAGUGAAGAAGGUUUUCGGAUCGUAAAGCUCUGUUGUAAGAGAAGAACGGGUGUGAGAGUGGAAAGUUCACACUGUGACGGUAUCUUACCAGAAAGGGACGGCUAACCACGUG
rnacentral:rRNA from 1 species